rnacentral:hammerhead_ribozyme from 1 species
AUCCAACUGACGAGCCCCAAAUAAGACGAAACGCAUUUCCUGGAU